AUGGCGGUUUGCCAACCAGCUUGGUGGCGGAUCCUGCAUCUUUGUCUCGUGUUUCUCCAUCAUUGGCCGUGUCAGCUAGCGGCUUGCCAACCAAUUUGGUGGCGGAAAUUGUAGCUACUACGCCUGCUUUUAGCUCUGAGACACCAACUUCUGGCUUGGCAAUUUCAAAGGCAACAACUUCUGGUUUUCCGCCAACCAAUACCUCAGGUUCUCCUAAGUUGGUAGCUACCACUUUUUCUGACUUCGCGGCUCAAAAGCCGGCCUCCAACCCCUUUGCUAUAUCAUCCACCUCUUC